UACGGAGGGGACUAGCGUUGUUCGGAAUUACUGGGCGUAAAGCGCACGUAGGCGGAUUUGUAAGUCAGGGGUGAAAUCCCGGGGCUCAACCUCGGAACUGCCUUUGAUACUGCAAAUCUCGAGUCCGGAAGAGGUUAGUGGAAUUCCCAGUGUAGAGGUGAAAUUCGUAGAUAUUGGGAAGAACACCAGUGGCGAAGGCGGCUAACUGGUCCGGUACUGACGCUGAGGUGCGAAAGCGUGGGGAGCAAACAGG
rnacentral:rRNA from 1 species